CACCUGAUCCCUUCCCGAACUCAGAAGUGAAACCUCUUCGCGCUGAUGGUAGUGUGGCGUUAGCCAUGUGAGAGUAAGUCAUCGCCAGCU
rnacentral:rRNA from 1 species